GCUGGGAUGUUCUGAAGACCUGCUCACUUGGUCAUGCACUGAGGACCUUGGUUCCCCAUGGGCCUUACGCCUGCCCAGGGGAAAGUCCCUGGACCACCAGCAGAGAGCGCCAGGCGCUAACGCACCCCUGCCCACCACCCCACGCCACCCUCCGCUGAGACACCCAUGGGCUGAGCAGGUGAGUGCUAGGCAGGCCCUUGUCACAGCCACAGACACGCAGGCAGUGCAGCAGGUGUGCCAACAGAACAGGGCUCACACUCAGGCUUUG
rnacentral:RNase_MRP_RNA from 1 species